AGCAAUAUCUCUCAAUUCAAAUAAAAAACUUUAAGCCUACUAAUGUCAUCCUUACAAACUCAUGUUUAGGGUUUUGAGGGAAAUAUCAAGAUUUAAUUUGUCGAAAUCUAUUCAAAUAAUCAUCUAUAUUUUCAUUAUUAAGUCUUUUACCAUUUAUUAAGUCCAUCAAACUCACUUGGGUUUUUCCAAUAAAUAGUUCAUACAAAUUCCUCUCUAA
rnacentral:lncRNA from 1 species